rnacentral:rRNA from 1 species
CGUGUGGUUCUAUUUUGUUGGUUUCUAGGACCGCCGUAAUGAUUAAUAGGGACAGUUGGGGACAUUAGUAUUGAGUUGUCAGAGGUGAAAUUCUUGGAUUUUCUCAAGACUAACUACUGCGAAAGCAUUUGUCAAGGAUGUUUUCAUUAGUCAAGAACGAAAGUUAGGGGAUCGAAGACGAUCAGAUACCGUCGUAGUCUUAACCAUAAACUAUGCCGACUAGGGAUUGGGCGAUGUUCUUUUCUUGACUCGCCCAGCACCUUAUGAGAAAUCAAAGUUUUUGGGUUCCGGGGGGAGUAUGGUCGCAAGGCUGAAACUUAAAGAAAUUGACGGAAGGGCACCACCAGGAGUGGAGCCUGCGGCUUAAUUUGACUCAACACGGGGAAACUCACCAGGUCCAGA